CAAACAAAAGUUUAAGUUAAUAAAAACCCUUUCAAAAAACCUCUCUCAAGAUAUAAAUUAAGUUAAAGAAUGGAGAAAUCAGAAAUCAAGUCAGAUAUUAUAGAUAGCAUGGAAAAUCAAGAGACAAAGUGGAGUUUUUUAUGUUCCUGAGUUAAAGAGCAAUUUUCUUAGUAUGGGUCAGCUGCAUGAAAGAACUACAAAAUUGUUAUCUAAAAGGGUUAUUGCACAAUACAACAUCUACAGAAUGGAAGAAUUUUUGAAGUUAAAUGAUAUCCGAUCGAUUGUUGCCUUUACACAGUAAUGACCAAGCAUGCUUGACAACAAAAAUGGUGGACUCAAUUUGGUUUUGGCAUAUGCGAUAUGGACACCUCAAUUUUAAUUGGCAGAGAACCUUGCAGCAAUAGAAUGUGGUUGGUGGUCUUCCCCAAAUCGAUGUUACAACCAAAGUUUGUCAAAGCUUUGUUGCUUGUAAACAACAUCGUGGAUCAUUUCCAAUAUGGAAAGCAUGGAGGACUAAGGAAUUGUUGCAAUUGAUUCACUCAGACCUCUAUUGUCCAAUCAAUACAGCCUCAAAGACCAAUAAAAGGUAUUUUAUAUCUUUUACUGAUUACUAUAGCAGGAAGACGUGUGUUAAGUUUUUGCAACAACAAAAAUGAGGCUUUUAUCCCAUUCAAGCAAUUCAAGGUCUUUGCUAAAAAUGAAUCUUGGAAGAAAAUCAAAAUUCUUGGCACUGAUUGUGGUGGUGAGUUCAAUUCCAAUGAGUUCACAGGAUUUUGCGCUAUGAAUGUAAUUUGGAGGGAAUUGACAUAAGUUAUACACCACAACGACAUGAUGUGUGUGAGAGGAAGAAUUGUACAAUUUUUAACAUGGUAAGAAGCAUUUUGGCCACUUCAAGCAUCCCAAAAAGCUUUUGGGAAGAGUCAAUUAACUGGAGUGUUAAAGUAUUGUGUAGGUGUACUAUUUUUCAAUGAAAAAUAUGAUACCAGAAGCUUGGUACUCUCAAAAACCAAAUGUUGAUUUUUUUAGGAUUUUUGGGUGUAUAGUAUAUUCCCAUAUUCCUGAUGAAAGCCGAAGGAAAACUUGAUGACAAGGGAAUCCUAUGUAUUUUCCUUGGAGUGAGCGAAUAGUCAAAGGCUUACUAAUUGUAUAAUCCACACACAAAGAAGACAAUUGUAAGUCGUGAUGUUAUUUUUAUGAAGCUGAAUUAUGGGAUUGGAAUAGUGCAAAAAAACAAUCAACCUCAAUAGAGGAUGAGGAAGUAGAAACAAUUAUUGAAGUGACAAAUCAGAAAGAUGGAUCAAAAGUGCAGCAACAUUUAUCCGAUGAUGUGAGAAACGACCAAAAUGGAAGGACCUCAAGUGAAGAACAUCCAUCAAGAAUGACAACUGAACGAAAUAAACAUCAAAUAAGGAGGCCACAUUGGAUAAUUGAUUAUGUAAGUGGAGAUGAGCUUUCUGAUGAUGAUAAUACUGCCAAUCUUAUUUUAUUUGCAGAUUGUGAUCCCAUUGCAUAUGAAGAUGCAGAAAAAGACUUAAAAUGGCAGAAAGCUAUGGAUAUAGAAAUUGAAUCAAUCAAAAGGAAUAAUACUUGGGAGCUGACUGAUCUUCCACAAGGCUAGAAUACCUUUGGCCUAAAGUGGGUUUACAAAACCAAGCUAAAUGAAAAGGGUGAGCUUGACAAGUACAAAGCAUUACUGGCAGCGAAGGGAUACACUCAGAAGUUUGGCAUUGAUUAUGGUGAUCUGUUUGCUCCGUUCGCUAGGCUCCAUAUUGUUCGACUGAUAAUAGCUAUGGCUGCACAAAAUUCUUGGCCAAUUUAUCAAUUGGAUAUAAAGCCGACAUUCUUCAUGGUAAUUUACAUGUACGUGUAUAUAUUGAUCAUCCUCCUGGAUAUGUAAUGCAAGGCAGUGAAGCAAAGGCAUACAAACUGAAAAAAGCUUUAUAUUGGUUGAAACAAGCACCUCGAUCUUGGUACACUUGUAUAUAGGCUUAUUUUGAAAAGGCAGGAUUUUAUAGAUGUCCAUAUAAGCAUUCUAUUUUCAAUAAAUUUAGUACCUCAUCAAAAUUUUUGAUUGUUUGCCUAAAUGUAAUUGAUUUGAUCUACACAGGAAAUGAAAAAAGUAUGAUGGGUAAUUUUAAACAA